rnacentral:lncRNA from 1 species
UUUCAGCUGCUUGUGCAUUCUUCACCUCCCAUUGUCUCUGUCUCUCUCUUUCUCCUCUGCUUCCCCUCCCCCCACAACCAAAGUCAAGAGCGCAGACCCCAUGAUCACCUGAUACCUCCAAGCAAGCAGGUGUUCUUUUCAGAAGCCAGAAGCUGAUAACCUUGGCUUUCUGAUCUAACCCCAGCC